CCUACGGGUGGCAGCAGUGGGGAAUAUUGGACAAUGGGGGCAACCCUGAUCCAGCCAUGCCGCGUGUGUGAAGAAGGCCCUCGGGUUGUAAAGCACUUUCAGUGAGGAAGAACGCCUGGUGGUUAAUACCCAUCAGGAAAGACAUCACUCACAGAAGAAGCACCGGCUAACUCCGUGCCAGCAGCCGCGGUAAUACGGAGGGUGCGAGCGUUAAUCGGAAUUACUGGGCGUAAAGCGCGCGUAGGUGGCUUGAUAAGCCGGUUGUGAAAGCCCCGGGCUCAACCUGGGAACGGCAUCCGGAACUGUCAAGCUAGAGUGCAGGAGAGGAAGGUAGAAUUUCCGGUGUAGCGGUGAAAUGCGUAGAGAUCGGGAGGAAUACCAGUGGCGAAGGCGGCCUUCUGGACUGACACUGACACUGAGGUGCGAAAGCGUGGGUAGCAAACAGGAUUAGAUACCCUUGUAGUC
rnacentral:rRNA from 1 species